UACGGGGGGAGCAAGCGUUGUUCGGAUUUACUGGGCGUAAAGGGCGCGUAGGCGGCCAGCACAAGUCAGUUGUGAAAUCUCCGAGCUUAACUCGGAACGGUCAACUGAUACUGUGCGGCUAGAGUGCGGAAGGGGCAACUGGAAUUCUUGGUGUAGCGGUGAAAUGCGUAGAUAUCAAGAGGAACACCUGCGGCGAAGGCGGGUUGCUGGGCCGACACUGACGCUGAGGCG
rnacentral:rRNA from 1 species